GUAUUCUCGUCGUAGACACUGAGCAGCCAUUUAAUUUACGCUUCAUCGUGCUUACAUAUUUAAUCUUCGCAUUUAUAUCGUUUAUAAAGAAUCUGUGUAUACAAGUAUAUCGAAAAUACGAACGUAUUGCUUUACGUAUUUGAGAAUCGCGCGAUUAUUUUCCAUUGGAGCAAAAACAUUUCGAGUAAAACUUGUUUCUUUCUUUCUCAAGUGAGACUUUUGAUAAUAAUAAAAUCUUAUUUUACAGAAGAACGUGAAAACUUUGAAGACUACACUUGAAUUUUAUAUUUUUUCACCGAAUGUGCGAUCUUCUAAAUGUUACGAGAAAAUUGGCGCACAUAAUGUUUCCACGAUGACCUCAAUUUCAAAAUAUCAACGCCAACAAACAUUGGAAGAACCUGUACUAAUUGUCAACGGGCGGACAGGACGGAAUUCAAAGAGGAAUCGUGCCCAAUUCUGUUUCGAAGAUGCACGUAAAAGCACGUUCUCCGUUCUUAUCCGAUUUAAAAAGCGACGAAGUCAGUUUAAUCGGGACAAAAGAAGAGGAAGAAGAAGAAGAAGAACCGUGACACGGUUUCCACUGACUGUGUCAAGCAAUGCAUCAAAGUGGUAGGAUCCUUGAUCCAACGAUCAGAAUCGCGCAAUGGUUCGAACAUUCCUCUCGAUUGCACGUUUGCACCUCGCUUUGAUCACGAGCCGUCAAAAGGUGGGCCGUCUCCUUAUUCACACAGGAAUAGCGUAAAUCAUGAAAGCGCGCCACUUCGUGGAACGCAUUACCCUAAGUACAUCGUGACGAACGUAAUGAAUUAUCAAGGCAACAACAGUGUCAACCUGGAAUCUACGAUAUUUCGAGUGCUCGUGUAUCGUCGUAAUGAGGAGAAAUCUGUCGUGCAGAUAUCCGCGGCUAUUUAAGUUUGCGUGAGAAGUGUAGUUUCAGAAUUACUUAUUUAUUCUAGAAAUUAUGAAAUGAAUGAACAUAACGUUGAGACGUGGUAGCAACAUUCAAGGAUUAUCAUAUUUAACUUCACAAUUCGCAUGAUACACUUCACAAGUGGAGCUUAAUAAUAUACUUCAUGACGAUAAUAUUGUUUUAGUAUGAAAGUAAAUAUAGUGUAAAUUGCAAUGUAAUGAAAGACUUCGUUGCCAUAAAUACCAUAAAUAUCUCAGGUAAUAAUAUAUUCUAACGUUUAAAAUUU